CCCCGCACAAGCAGCGGAGCGUGUGGUUUAAUUCGAUGUUACACGAAGAACCUUACCAGGGUUUGACAUGCAAGUGGUAGGAAACCGAAAGGUGACCGACCCUUCGGGGAGCUUGCACAGGUGCUGCAUGGCUGUCGUCAGCUCGUGUCGUGAGAUGUUCGGUUAAGUCCGCUAACGAGCGCAACCCUCACUGUGUGUUAUAUGUGUCACACGGGACCGCCGGUCUUAAGCCGGAGGAAGGUGGGGAUGACGUCAAGUCAGCAUGGCCUUUAUAUCCUGGGCUACACACACGCUACAAUGGCCAACACAAUAGGUUGCUAAGCCGCGAGGUGGAGCCAAUCCAUAAAGUUGGUCUCAGUUCAGAUUGUAGGCUGCAACCCGCCUGCAUGAAGAUGGAGUUGCUAGUAACCGCAGAUCAGCAACGCUGCGGUGAAUACGUUCCCGGGCCUU
rnacentral:rRNA from 1 species